rnacentral:rRNA from 1 species
AAAGAUCGAAUGGGGAGAUUCAUCGUCAGCGCCGCUGGCUUAACGAUGGCUCGCGAUGCGAGGGGCCCCGCCCCGAGUUACGCGGUCGUCGUUUUGCGCCCGGCGGCGUCGGCGUGCACUUCUCCCCUAGUAGAACGUCGCGACCCGUUGAGUGCCGGUCUUACGGCCCGAGUGGAAGCCUGUUCGCCCCCGUGGCUGCAGACCCUCGGUCGCCAAAGAAUCGGCUGCUCGGCGGUACUCCCAUGGUAUCGGGCCGCAAAAUUUCGAACUGCGUCGGGCCCGCUCUGUCCGCUGGUCGGUGUCUCGGUGGUACGGACCUAGCGCCGUCCCCAGCUCCGGCCGGCUUCGAAGGCAGGCGGUGUCCUCCGACAGGCCAUCGAACUUAACGAUACCGGUCGGCGACGCUACCGCUUUGGGUAAUCUCAGGACCCGUCUUGAAACACGGACCAAGGAGUCUAACAUGUGCGCGAGUCAUUGGGAUUAUGAAUACCUAAAGGCGAAAUGAAAGUGAAGGUCGGCCUUAGCGUCGACCGAGGGAGGAUGGGCCGCGUUACGAUGCGGCUCCGCACUCCCGGGGCGUCUCGCUCUCAUC